AUUGAACGCUGGCGGCAUGCCUUACACAUGCAAGUCGAACGGUAACGCGGGGCAACCUGGCGACGAGUGGCGAACGGGUGAGUAACACAUCGGAACGUGCCCAGUAGUGGGGGAUAGCCCGGCGAAAGCCGGAUUAAUACCGCAUACGACCUGAGGGGGAAAGCGGGGGAUCGUAAGACCUCGCGUUAAUGGAGCGGCCGAUGCCGGAUUAGCUAGUUGGUGAGGUAAAGGCUCACCAAGGCGACGAUCUGUAGCGGGUCUGAGAGGAUGAUCCGCCACACUGGAACUGAGACACGGUCCAGACUCCUACGGGAGGCAGCAGUGGGGAAUUUUGGACAAUGGGCGCAAGCCUGAUCCAGCCAUGCCGCGUGAGUGAAGAAGGCCUUC
rnacentral:rRNA from 1 species